AUAAAUACGGGAAAUCAACAAGCAAGCCAAGUUACAAGUGAGACGGCCCAAGCCACGCUCAGUCAUUCCACUCUCUGCCUCGUCCUAAACAACGUUUCGCGUCACGCUCGAGAAAACUUGUUGCUAGUGGAAGGAAAGAAAUGCUUCGAACCGGUUUACUCAUCUGGCUUCUACUGGUCUGUAUCCUACCUGGCUGCAGCUCUCGCAGCUGCAACGGGUGCAGACGGCGUCGAGCAAGGGAUACCCAGCGUGCAGACAGGCACUCAAAAACUGGAUUUGCGUCGGACAGUACGACUGCCGUUCAAUCGAGGAGUGAUAAUGAUGAUGGUGAUGAUGCUCCUGUAAUGAGCAUGGGAGCGCGUGGAGCAACAUCGGGUCCCUACUGUACUACAGCUCUGUGGAGGAUGACGAUCAGCGUUCCGGGCUGCUUCAGUGUAAGACCGAAGACUCCGACCUGUCUCGGUCUGUGCACGUCGUACGAGGCGAACAGUCAAAACGGCCACCUGGCAAAGUCGUGCAAAUGCUGCAAGGAGGUACAAGAGUCGGUGCGAUACAGGGAGCUCAGACUGCGCUGUCCCGUUCCUGGAACGGACCGAAUGCGACGCAUGAGAGUGCUAAUACCGGUAGUGACGCGCUGCCAAUGUCGACCAUGUUUGAGCAUCAGCUAGCGUUUACAGCAAGACACAGAGACAGGAUAUUAUAUACCGAUCUAUGACAGUUAGUUGAGUUUUCUACGCUAAGAAACUUAUCAUUUUUGGAGUUGAGACAGAGAGGUUAAUUAUUGAGAGCUUGCCUCCCUCACUAGCUACUCAGAGGUCAUUCAACAUGAAUGAUCCGCAGACAUAGUACGAGCAUGUACAAACGUUUACUGUACUAUUAGUGUAAAAAAUCAUUGGGACGUUGUCGUAUUCUUUGCUUAUUUUGCCAAUAAAUGGUCAGGAACUGAGGUGAACAAA